UUCAAAAUCAAAUUCAAAAUCAUGUUCAAAGAUUCCGUUAUACACAUACAUACUAACAUACUUACGUCUGAAGCUAAAAAAAGCGUUUGAAAAAAAAUAUUAAAAGUUUAACGUCUUUCUGUUUUCUAAAUUUGAGUUUUUCUCUAGUAUAAUUGCUUAAUUUAUUUAUUACAAAGACAUUAUUGUUAAUUACCCAUUUUGUCAAAAGUCUGUUAAAAAAACUCGAUUUUAUUCAUAGUAAUGUUUCCGUAAACUUAAGGACAUUUCAAUAAUCAAUAACCCUGAAAACACAAACAUCAACCAUUUACUCAGUUUCCAAAAGGUCCUUGUCAUAGAUAAUACACUUGUCCUUGUAGCUAUUAUUUUCUGGUGGAAAAGCUUCGAUCAAUACUACUAGAUUCGCGAUUAGCGCUUCAAAAACGGCCCGAAAAAUAAGACCACAAAUAAAUUUGUGGUCUUAUUUCAAAUUAGUAUGGUCCAAUCAUAGCCAACACUAAGACGUCAAAACGCUGCACUGCGCGUUCAAAAACUGAGUAAAAAACCACCGUAACACCAAGGUUUUGGAAGGAAUAUCUUUUUUUGAUUUUCUAGUAGCCCCUUGUCGCUGUGCACAAUGGAUAUAUAUUGUCGCGAAAGAAAGAGGAGAAGAAAUAUAGAACCCUUAUAAAAAUUCUAGAAUUGUUCAAUGGUGGUGGCAAAUCAAUGCAAAAAAGUAUUAAAAAAACUUUAUAUUAUGUAUGUGUAAAUAUUUUAAGCGUAUAUGCUGAAAAGGAUUUGUUUUCUGGGGGAAACGAACACAGCCAUAAAAUAAGCCUAAAUUAAACUGAUUAUAGAAAAAUUCAUUGAUAUAAGAUUACAUUAUAUUUGUAAAAAAGAAACCGCUCAUAUAAAAAUGACUUCUAAAAGACAGCUUUAUAACAAACUGAAUCUGUUUAAAGGUAAUUAAACCUACAUUAUUGUUUUAAUUACUUCUGUAUAAAGAAUACGUGGAAAACAUGUUUCGUGUUUCCUUUCAUAUUUUUUUUACUUUAUUCAAUUUUAUUUUUUAUCACCUAUUUGUUGUAAUAGCGGCAAUGUAAAAUAUUAUCUACUACUUUUUUGAAUCGGUCAAAAAUAGUUGCGACCAUACAAAACAAACCUAAAACAAAUAUGUAUAUUCUGCAACUCUAUGUCUUUCAAUACUUACUGUGUUCUGAGCAUUGAAAUGUAAUACCAAGAACUACAUCUAGUUCCACAAUACAAUAAGCACGAAAUUUUAAACAAAUAUUUUUAACCUUAUAAAUUAGGCUUUAUGUAUCAUUUUAGAAUAAAUAUUUUUGUACUGAUGACUUUUUAUGUUCAAGUGACAUUUUAAAUUUAUUCCAUAAUAUUCUUUUUCUGACGAAAGGACCUAAAUACAUAUAUUUUGCAAUGGUAAUUAAACUUUAUGUUUAAGUAUUAAGGUUUAUAAUAAACUGAAGUCGUUAACAUUAUUAAA